GGGGGCGACCUGGCUUCGACGUGGGUUGCGAACUCCAAGGUGCAUGUCGAGCAUGUUGCUUAAUCUCGUAAAACUUAGCUACAAACGUCAUAAGUGCAAACGAUGACACCAUUGAAGAGGGAAUGCUAGCAGCAUAAACCCCUUCCAGCUGCCCAGCGGUGCUUGUGCCAAAGGAAUCAGCUGUCGAUUACACAAGAUAGCAUUGGUGUGUUCCCUGGCCGCUGAUGUGAAAUAUUAAGGGGAUCGCUUCGCUGUACUGAGUUAGACCGAGUGCAGCGCGGUUAAAAUUAGGUCUAACUAAACAUGUAGACCCUUGCAGGGAGGAUUUGCGGACGCGGGUUCGAUUCCCGCCGCCUCCACCA
rnacentral:tmRNA from 1 species